rnacentral:lncRNA from 1 species
GUCUUUCUGUGUCUUCUUGUAGCAGACUGCAUUCCUUCAGACACUUUUUUUUUGUUGUUGUUAUUCUUUAUCUGGUGAAUAAUAGAUCUCUAAGUCUUUGGAUUCAGUUAAUGCAAGAUAUUACGAUCCUUCAUUCAGGUCCUGUUACCUUAAUUUUUCAUGUUGCUUAAAGUUUUGUUUUUCUGUCUUUGCAUUUGAAGUAGUAGUCACCUUCUCCAGUCUUUACUGUCUGACUUUGGGAGAGAGAUACCUUCUGUUAACCUUAAUAGAUGUUCAGAGGCUUUCUCAGAACUUAUAUGGGUACAUGUGCUCCAUGCUUCUUUCUAUCUCUUGAGGGUAAUUCUUAAGGUUGUAUGCCUUCUGUGGAUCCUGAAAUGUCCAGGGCCAAAUGUUGACAGCCUCCCUUUUGUUUUCUCAAACAUGGUGCUAGAGCUUAAGUUUGUUGUCUGUGUCUGUCCCACAGAUUCAGCUGGCUUUCUGCAUACUCUGUAGCCAUCUGCUAAAGCCUACUUUCACUUCCUCCACUGGAAGGAUGCACAGGGUGAUGGUAUGAGUAGUGAGGCAUAUAGAGUACUGAAGGUGCACAUAGAUAAUUUGGGGAUUCUUUGGUUGAGGUAUUCCCAGUGGCUCAUUUGCAAGCUUCUUGAUGGAGUCUGUCAUGCAGUUUGUAGGAUCUCUGUUCCUCCAGUGUCUCCCAAGGGCCCUAUCUGUUGCUCUAUCCACUCCCUAGUCAUGAUUAAUUACUUUGGAAGGAAUAAGAGGGAAAUGAAGAAGCUAGCUGUUCACUCGAAUGGUUUCCUUUUCCCCCACAGGAGAAGUUACAGGCUGAGGAAGAUCUCCCUUGGCUCAAAGCUUUGCCAUCUUGGACAAGGGGUGAUGCAGCUCUUGCGUAAUGUGGACUCUCUAUCCUAAGGUACAGUGGUCACUCAUCAGCAACUUCAGCCCACCUUCCUGCCUCCUUGUUUGCUGGGAAUUACCAGCUACUCCAGCAUUCUGGUGGGCCUCUUUUCCUGGUGGAGAUGUCUAAGAGAGAGGUCAGUGGUACAAACUAUAAUCCUCACAACUGAAGACUCAGGCCUGCGAGUGGAGGAAGAUCUAAGAAGAACUUACCUUUGGAUGAACUAUUUUCAACUAUGGCCUCUUAGGAGACUGUGGUCUCCGCCUGCUCUAAUCCCAGUAAGGGGAACACCUGUCCCCCAGGUGUUGCUAACUGCUCAUUGUCUUUUCCACAGGACCAGGCUGCAGCCAGGGCCCAGGUAAGAACACAUUUUUUUUUUCUUUUAGCUUCUUAACUUACCCAUCCUGCCUCCCUCAGUCUCUUUGUACUAACAGUACCCCCUCAUUCCAU